GCAUAGCCCCGAUGGAAAUGGCAUCCUUUUUAUAAAGUAAUUUUUCUUUACUUUAUAAAAAGAUAUAAUGGACAGCGGGACUGAAC
rnacentral:sRNA from 1 species